rnacentral:rRNA from 1 species
GAUGAACGCUAGCGGGAGGCCUAACACAUGCAAGCCGAGCGGUAUUGUUUCUUCGGAAAUGAGAGAGCGGCGUACGGGUGCGGAACACGUGUGCAACCUGCCUUUAUCUGGGGGAUAGCCUUUCGAAAGGAAGAUUAAUACUCCAUAAUAUAUUGAUUGGCAUCAAUUAAUAUUGAAAGCUCCGGCGGAUAGAGAUGGGCACGCGCAAGAUUAGCUAGUUGGUGAGGUAACGGCUCACCAAGGCGAUGAUCUUUAGGGGGCCUGAGAGGGUGAUCCCCCACACUGGUACUGAGACACGGACCAGACUCCUACGGGAGGCAGCAGUGAGGAAUAUUGGUCAAUGGGUGCAAGCCUGAACCAGCCAUCCCGCGUGAAGGACGACUGCCCUAUGGGUUGCAAACUUCUUUUGUAUAGGGAUAAACCUACCCUCGUGAGGGUAGCUGAAGGUACUAUACGAAUAAGCACCGGCUAACUCCGUGCCAGCCGCCGCCGUAAAAC